CAAUAGCGUAGAUUAAAGUUGUUGCAGUUAAAAAGCUCGUAGUUGGAUUUCUGGUCGGAAGCUCCUGUCCUCUGAUGAGCGUACAAGUGCGUCCUACCAUCCUUCUGUUAACCUUUAAGGCUUUCGCGGCUUUCUAGGGGCUCAGAUAUUUUACCUUGAGAAAAUUAGAGUGUUUCAGGCAGGCUAGCGCCGGAAUACAUUAGCAUGGAAUAAUGGAAUAGGACUUUUGCCUCUUCUGUUGGUCAUGAGGCUCGAGUAAUGAUUAAUAGGGAUAGUUGGGGGCAUUAGUACUUAACUGUCAGAGGUGAAAUUCUCGGAUUUGUUAAAGACUAACUUAUGCGAAAGCAUUUGCCAAGGAUGUUUUCAUUAA
rnacentral:rRNA from 1 species